CAACCCACAGCCAGGCACAUGUUACUAUUUCUGUAGAGCCUCAGGGACCAGCUGUAUCCUUGGAAGUCUGCUAUUUGGCACCAAAUAGAAGCCAACUACAAUCUACUUUCUUUUCUCAGGAGGAAUAUUCUGGAAGGAUCAGAAAGGAAGAACUUUUAUGAGUAGUCUUCUGAGCAACAUUCAGAACAGGGGUUAAAAUCAGACUUUGUUUCAUGCUGACUUUGUUGUCAUCAGUGUGUUUGGAUGAUCAUCAAUUUUGCAGAGCUUAACCCUUCAAGAUAAAAAUCCUUUUGCCUCUCCCCUGCGAGGUUAAAUGGGAAAAUCUGCCAGGACUGAUGAGCAGCCCAUCAACUAUACAUGGAAAUCAUGGGGAAGACCUGGACUUGGAGCCCCUUUGGUUUGGGAGAGGAGCAAAAUCAUGGGCGGACGUCCCCUCCUAUGCUGUUGAUUUUUCUGAAGUUCCCUACAUCAAGACUCAAAUUCAGUGUUGCUUGCCUUAAUGGGUUUGGGGCUUUGGUGGAAACUGCUCUGUGUUCUAAAUAUCUCGUGUCACCCCCUGGCAAUAUUUCUAUCCAUAAAAAAAUCAUGUUAAACUGAAUUUAAAAGCAAACUUGAGUGUGAGGGGCGAUGACUGUAGAACAUUUUGGAAAUACUUGUGCUUUGCUAAUCAGAGCAUAGUGUACAGUCUUUUAAAAGGGGGAAGUGACUAAGUAAUGUGUAUCAAAGACUUUUAAAAUGUUCAUAGCCUUAAUCUAUUAAUUCCAUGAGAUCCAAAGAAAACAGUCAGAAAUAUAUGUGUAGGACAACUUCCAUGCAAAGGCAUUUAGCUGCAUUGUUUAUAAUAGUAAAAACUUGGAAUUGACUUAAAUUUCAAAGUGAAAUGAUUUAAUAAAUUAGGUUAUGAUUCAUGGUAGAGUACUGUG
rnacentral:lncRNA from 1 species